UACAGAGGGGGCAAGCGUUGUUCGGAAUUACUGGGCGUAAAGGGCGCGUAGGCGGCCUGUUAAGUCGAACGUGAAAUCCCCGGGCUCAACCCGGGAGCUGCGUCCGAUACUGGCAGGCUUGAAUUCGGGAGAGGGAUGUGGAAUUCCAGGUGUAGCGGUGAAAUGCGUAGAUAUCUGGAGGAACACCGGUGGCGAAGGCGGCAUCCUGGACCGAUAUUGACGCUGAUGCGCGAAAGCCAGGGGAGCAAGCGGG
rnacentral:rRNA from 1 species